UACGGAGGGUGCGAGCGUUGUCCGGAAUCACUGGGCGUAAAGGGCGCGUAGGCGGUCUGCUAAGCGUGCGGUGAAAUCCUGCGGCUUAACCGCAGGGCUGCCUUCUAAACUGCCAGCUCGAGCACAGUAGAGGCAGGUGGAAUUCCCGGUGUAGGCGGUGGAAUGCGCAGAUAUCAGGAGGACACCAAUAGCGAAGGCAGCUCGCUGGGACGUAGCUGACACUGAGGCGCGAAAGCGUGGGGAG
rnacentral:rRNA from 1 species